UGGUGUUGAUGCUAGUAGAUGUUCUUCAGUGUCUGGACAUUAAAAUCUUGGGCAUGCAGCACCAUAUGAGAGGUUUAAAAAAUAAAAUUAAAAAAGAGAAAAGAACCCAGAGUUGAUCUCUGCAGCAUGCCAUCACUGCUGGGGAUGAGGAAACGGUGAUUUCAGGACUGUUUUUUCUGUCUCUUCAGUGCCUCUUUCAGUGAUCUCAGGUUAAAACCAGACUAUGGAGGAUUCAUCACCAGACCAGGAAGCAACAGCCUGGGCUCCAGAGUUGGCCAGCAGUCCAUGCACAGACGAGGAGAGGUCCCAUGAACCUUCAGCGUGGUCUGGGAACCGAGCUC
rnacentral:lncRNA from 1 species